GAGCUCUUCUUCAGUCCAGUCC
rnacentral:miRNA from 1 species